ACCGAGCUAGUCUACAUCUG
rnacentral:miRNA from 1 species